CGUGUCGUGAGAUGUUGGGUUAAGUCCCGCAACGAGCGCAACCCUUGCCUUUAGUUGCCAUCAUUUAGUUGGGCACUCUAAAGGAACUGCCGGUGACAAGCCGGAGGAAGGUGGGGAUGACGUCAAGUCCUCAUGGCCCUUAUGUCCUGGGCUACACACGUGCUACAAUGGUGGUGACAGUGGGAAGCCAGGCGGUGACGCCGCGCUGAUCUCCAAAAGCCAUCUCAGUUCAGAUUGUACUCUGCAACUCGAGUACAUGAAGGUGGAAUCGCUAGUAAUCGCGGAUCAGCACGCCGCGGUGAAUACGUUCCCGGGCCUUGU
rnacentral:rRNA from 1 species